rnacentral:rRNA from 1 species
CGACCCCAGAUCCCUYMGGGAGGSMCCACUUGAUUGGCACAUGGCCAGCCUAGUCAGCAUUUCGCGKCCGGAAGAAGCCUCCGAUKUAACCGCUUGUCAGGAGRAAAGUUCYGGUUAAWCCUGGACUCCMUGACGUACCUGAAGAUAAGCACCGSCUAAYACGKGCCAGCAGCCGCGGUAUACGUAGGGUGCAAGCGUAWUCGGAAUUACUGGCGUAAAGCKKCGCCAGCSGUAUGCCAAGMCMGAGGUGAAAUCCCCGGGCUCAACCUGGGAACUGCCUUUGKGACUGCAUGGCUAGAGUACGGUAGAGGGRGGAUGRAAUUCCGCGUGUAGCAGUGAAAUGCGUAGAUWUGCGGAGGAACACCGAUGGCGAAGGCAAUCCCCUGGACCUGUACUGACGCUCAUGCACGAAAGCGUGGGGAGCAAACAGGAUUAGAUACCUGGUAGUCCACGCCCUAAACGAUGUCAACUGGUUGUUGGGAGGGUUUCUUCUCAGUAACGUAGCUAACGCGUGAAGUCGACCGCCUGGGGAGUACGGCCGCAAGGUUGAAACUCAAAGGAAUUGACGGGGACCCGCACAAGCGGUGGAUGAUGUGGUUUAAUUCGAUGCAACGCGAAAAACCUUACMUACCCUUGACAUGCCAGGAAUCCUGAAGAGAUUUGGGAGUGCUCGAAAGAGAGCCUGGACACAGGUGCUGCAUGGCCGUCGUCAGCUCGUGUCGUGAGAUGUUGGGUUAAGUCCCGCAACGAGCGCAACCCUUGUCAUUAGUUGCUACGAAAGGGCACUCUAAUGAGACUGCCGGUGACAAACCGGAGGAAGGUGGGGAUGACGUCAGGUCAUCAUGGCCCUUAUGGGUAGGGCUACACACGUCAUACAAUGGCCGGGACAGAGGGCUGCCAACCCGCGAGGGGGAGCUAAUCCCAGAAACCCGGUCGUAGUCCGGAUCGUAGUCUGCAACUCGACUGCGUGAAGUCGGAAUCGCUAGUAAUCGCGGAUCAGCUUGCCGCGGUGAAUACGUUCCCGGGUCUUGUACACACCGCCCGUCACACCAUGGGAGCGGGUUCUGCCAGAAGUAGUUAGCCUAACCGCAAGGAGGGCGAUUACCACGGCAGGGUUCGUGACUGGGGUGAAGUCGUAACAAGGUAGCC